rnacentral:pre_miRNA from 1 species
UGAGGUAGUAGAUUGUAUAGUUGGAGGGUCACACCCCCGUCUCGGAGAUAACUAUACAUUCUACUGUCUUCC